rnacentral:rRNA from 1 species
UUGCUCUUCAACGAGGAAUGCCUAGUAAGCGCGUGUCAUCAGCAUGCGUUGAUUACGUCCCUGACCUUUGUACACACCGCCCGUCGCUACUACCGAUUGAAUGGCUCAGUGAGGCGUUCGGACUGGCUCGGGGAGGUUGGCAACGACCACCCCAAGCCGGAAAGUUCGUCAAACUCGGUCAUUUAGAGGAAGUAAAAGUCGUAACAAGGUCUCCGUAGGUGAACCUGCGGGGGGAUCAUUACACAAUAAAAUAUGAAGGCUGUACGCGGCUGUGCUCUCGGGCCAGUUUUGCGGAGGCUGAAUUAUUUAUUACCCUUGUCUUUUGCGCACUUGUUGUUUCCUGGGCGGGUUCGCCCGCCACCAGGACCACAUCAUAAACCUUUUUUAUGCAGUUGCAAUCAGCGUCAGUAUAACAAAUGUAAAUCAUUUACAACUUUCAACAACGGAUCUCUUGGUUCUGGCAUCGAUGAAGAACGCAGCGAAAUGCGAUACGUAGUGUGAAUUGCAGAAUUCAGUGAAUCAUCGAAUCUUUGAACGCACAUUGCGCCCGCCAGUAUUCUGGCGGGCAUGCCUGUCCGAGCGUCAUUUCAACCCAUCAAGCCCAGCGCUUGUGUUGGAGCCCUGCGGCCGCCGCAGGCUCCCAAAAUUAGUGGCGGGCUCGCUAUCACGCUGAGUGCAGUAGUAUUCUUCUCACUCCUGCGGUGUAGCGGGUAACCAGCCGUAAAACCCUUUUACCUAAAGUUGACCUCGGAUCAGGUAAGAAUACCCGCUGAACUUAAGCAUAUCAAUAAGCGGAGGA